rnacentral:sRNA from 1 species
UUCUGUGCUCAGUUAUGCUCCUCACAGGUUUUAACAGAAAGCCAGGCACACAGUAGUGCUCAGAAGAACUUCAUAUGGAGAACUAUAUAUUCUGACGAAUUACAUCAACUUGUAUAUCCAGGCUCUCCAGGGUCACCAGCUGUGCUCCACACACAGGGAAGAUUGAUGGUGGCUUGCUAUACAUUAAUUUACUGGUUGUUUGUAGGUACCAGUUACAUUCAGGGAUGUGACUGUGAUCUUCACAGAAGCAGAAUGGAAGAGACUGAGUCCAGAGCAGAGGAAUCUAUACAAAGAAGUGAUGCUGGAGAAUUACAGGAAUCUUCUCUCAUUGGCAGAACCAAAGCCAGAAAUCUACACUUGUUCCUCCUGCCUUCUGGCCUUCUCCUGUCAGCAGUUCCUCAGUCAACAUGUACUUCAGAUCUUCCUGGGCUUAUGUGCAGAAAAUCACUUCCAUCCAGGGAAUUCUAGCCCAGGGCAUUGGAAACAGCAGGGGCAGCAGUAUUCCCAUCUAAGCUGUUGGUAUGAAAAUGCAGAAGGUCAGGAGAGAGGAGGUGGCUCCAAACCCUGGUCUGCAAGGACAGAGGAGAGAGAAACCUCAAGGGCAUUCCCCAGCCCACUCCAAAGACAGUCAGCAAGUCCUAGAAAAGGCAACAUGGUAGUAGAAAUAGAGCCCAGCUCAGCCCAAAGACCAAACCCUGUGCAGCUAGACAAAGGCUUGAAGGAAUUAGAAACCUUGAGAUUUGGAGCAAUCAACUGUAGAGAGUGUGAACCGGACCAUAACCUGGAAUCAAACUUUAUUACAAACCCGAGGACCCUCUUAGGGAAGAAGCCCUACAUUUGCAGUGAUUGUGGGCGAAGCUUUAAAGAUAGAUCAGCCCUCAUCAGACACCAUCGUAUACACUCGAUGGAGAAGCCUUAUGUGUGCAGUGAGUGCGGGCGAGGUUUUAGCCAGAAGUCCAACCUCAGCAGACACCAGAGAACACAUUCAGAAGAGAAGCCUUAUUUGUGCAGGGAGUGUGGGCAAAGCUUUAGAAGUAAGUCCAUCCUCAAUAGACAUCAGUGGACUCACUCAGAGGAGAAGCCCUAUGUUUGCAGCGAGUGUGGGCGAGGCUUUAGCGAGAAGUCAUCCUUCAUCAGACACCAGAGGACACACUCCGGUGAGAAACCCUAUGUGUGCCUGGAGUGUGGACGAGGCUUUUGUGAUAAGUCAACCCUCAGAAAACACCAGAGGAUACACUCAGGGGAGAAGCCUUAUGUUUGCAAGGAGUGUGGGCGAGGCUUUAGCCAGAACUCAGAUCUCAUCAAACACCAGAGGACACACUUGGAUGAGAAGCCUUAUGUUUGCGGGGAGUGUGGGCGAGGCUUUUGUGACAAGUCAACCCUCAUCAUACACGAGCGGACGCACUCUGGAGAGAAGCCUUAUGUGUGUGGUGAGUGUGGCCGAGGCUUUAGUCGGAAAUCACUCCUCCUCGUCCACCAGAGGACACACUCAGGGGAGAAGCAUUAUGUCUGCAGGGAGUGUAGGCGAGGUUUUAGCCAGAAGUCAAAUCUCAUCAGACACCAGAGGACACACUCAAAUGAGAAGCCUUUUAUUUGCAGGGAAUGUGGGCGAGGCUUUUGUGACAAGUCAACCCUCAUUGUACAUGAGAGGACACACUCAGGAGAGAAGCCUUACGUGUGCAGUGAGUGUGGCCGAGGCUUUAGCCGGAAAUCACUCCUCCCUGUCCACCAGAGGACACACUCAGGGGAGAAGCAUUAUGUUUGUAGGGAGUGUGGGCGAGGCUUCAGUCAUAAGUCAAAUCUCAUCAGACACCAGAGGACACACUGACGGGAGAAACCUGUGUAUGCAGGGGUCAUGAACAAGACCUGAGUGACCAGUCAAGCCUCAUGUUACCCCAGAGAGACACACAGGGAGUAGACCCUGUGUAUGCAGAUUGUGAGUGAAGUUCCAGAGAUAUGUCAACCCUUAUCAGGCAUGGGAGGGACACGUUCAGGAGAGGAGCCUUAUGAGUAUAGAGUAUGGGCAACUGUAGCCAUCAGUCAGCCUUGAGCAUGCACAAAAGGACACACUUAGGAGAGAAUUUUAUGUGUAGGGACUGUGGGAAGGCUUUAGCAAUAAUCAACAUUUACCAAACAUCCAAUGACAUCCUCAGGGGAAAGCACCCUUGUCUGGGGAGUGUCGGUGAACAUCAGUAAAAGAAUGGACAGUCAGGCACAAAGUGGCCCUCGGGAAGGAGGUCUUGGUUUGCAGGAUGUAUGGGAAAAGCUUUUGUGAUCACACACCACAGGGAGAAUCUGCAUGUGGGGACACUGUGGAGCUCCGUCCAGAUGAUCUUUUCAGGGGUAACACCCCAGCUGCUUGAGACAACAGUGUUGCUGCUGGCAGAGAUGCAUUCCAGAGAUGCACUCCGCUCUGCAACUCGCUCUCAGCCACAGGGAGCUGCACACACCACAUGGGCAAUGCACCUUUGCAGGGGUAGCUUCUGGCCCCAACCCUUGACUCAACGGGGACAACUCCAGAAGGUCAUUCCAGAUCCAGAGAUACCCAUUGAACUGGAGGAUCACUGGGUUUCAGACACAUUGCAGGUCAGCCUCUUCCUCUGCCCAGUCCUGCCCUCACUCCCCAAUGAAUCCUCAAUUUUCCAUCUCAUUGUCUCUCCAGAUAAUUGAUUCUAAGACAUGUUAGGUAUAUAAGGAGUGUAUAUAAGGCUUCAGCCAUGAGUCACCCUUUAAUAAGCCCCAGAGUAUAUAGAAUAGAAAUUCUGCAUGAGAAUGGACAAGGACUUAGGAAAAAGUACUCAUCAAAGAACAACUUUUUUGGGACAAGCUUUACAUGGGUGGGGAGGGAAAAUGUGAAACACAUUAGCAAUAAGUUAAACCUCAUCUUGUACUAAAGGAGGACACACUCAGGGAGAAGACCUCUGUGGGUAGGGCUUGUGGGUGGAGCUUCAUCCCGAUGUCACUCCUCAACUGACUUAGGAGGACAGUCUUCCUACCCCAAGUCACUACCUCACUCACCUCUGAGGGGUUUUCAGGAAAUGUCUUGACUCCUCCAUGUACUCUGUAUGUGAGCGAAGAUGGCAGUAACUGUUAAAUAAGCAUUACUUUCUACUUCUUGGAAUCAGAUGAAAUAAAAAAGUAGGCUUUAUUUAAGUAAUCAAAAAA